CCCAGGAUAAAUGCACCUCUUCCCCAUUCAUUAAGGAGAUGCUCUCCAUGCAGACACAGAUUUUGGUUGUGGCUGUUUUCGGUUGCUUGCGUCUGCACCGUUCAACACCCCUCAUUAUCACAUUUAUGCACGCAACCUCUCCCUUAUAUUACUGACUACUCACACCAUUGUUAAUUAUAUUUAGGUUACUUUAGUUAAAAUAUAUUUUGUUAUUCUAUAUCUCCAGGUUUCCUUUUUUUGUUACGCACUUUUCUCCAGUUCGUGACAAGUGGGGGCUCAUCCGCGAUAAGAUGUAAUUGUUUGAGAUGUAAUGUUUUGUGCCCAGUACUGGUUGCCUUUGUUUGUUUGGUAAACUUGCAACUGCAGUGGAUAGUUUGUGUGCUGCGUUGGAGAAAGUAAAUUGGUUAGUUUCCAGGCCCAUGCCCAGGCUGAAGACUCUUGCUCUACUUGCUGUUGGGACAUUGGUUUGAGGAGGUUGUCGGUGGGCAGCGCGGGAGGGUCGUCAGCGAAAUGGGACACCUGGGCUCGGGUGUGUCCCAGAAUAAAUGCACCUCUUUCCCAUUCAUUGAAGAAACUCUAUCCAUGCAGACACAGAAUUUGGUUGGGGCUGUUUUUGGUUGUUUGCGUUUGCACAUUUCAACACCCCUCAUUUAUCACAUUAAAUUGCAGCUGUUUUUACCACAAAUAUGAAAACAUUAAUAUUUACUUCAAGAUUCUAAACUAACUGAUACUACUGUAUAUACAAUCCUAAUGGUAAAUCAGCCUUAGUACUAAUGUGGGCUGCACAUUUUUAUUGAACAAUAUAUGCUAAAUAAUUCUAAUAUAACUAUAAAAUAAGUCUGUUUUGGUAUUUUUUUUUAUUUCAGAUAACAUUAUUUACAUGUCUGAUGUUUAAAAAAAACUAAGUUGCUAUUUUGCUGUGAUUGUUGCUUUUUCCAAUAGUUUCUUAUCAGGGUCAUAAUGACCCCAGUUGGUAAUCCGUGUAUGUAAAAUGUUUGUAGUAUGAGGGUUAAUAUAUUGAACAAAAAUAUAAACACAACAUGUGAAGUGUCGGUACCAUGUUUCAUGAGCUGAAAUAAGAGAUCUCAAAUGUUCCAUCUCUAAAGCUCUUGUUGGGAAAAACAAAUUCUGAUUGUCUGGGCCUGGCUGCCAGGUGGGUGGACCCAUUGCUGUGCCCCUGCCCAGUCAUGUGACAUCCAUAGUCUAGGGCCUAAUGAAUUUAUUUCAAUUGACUGAUUUCCUUAACUGUAACUCAGCAAAACCUUUUAAAUUGGUGCACUUAUGUGUCAGUUGACAUGUGUUUUUAGUGUUUUUUUUUAGGAAUAUAAUUAUUAUUUAUUCUCUCCCUUUUCAUUCAGGGGAACCUGUGUUUAAGGCUAUGUCCUGUUAAACACGGAAUUAUACAUUUCAUGUAAAAUAAACCCUGUGGAAUUACG